GUGGGGAAUCUUGCGCAAUGGGCGAAAGCCUGACGCAGCCAUGCCGCGUGAAUGAUGAAGGUCUUAGGAUUGUAAAAUUCUUUCACCGGGGACGAUAAUGACGGUACCCGGAGAAGAAGCUCCGGCUAACUUCGUGCCAGCAGCCGCGGUAAUACGAAGGGGGCUAGCGUUGCUCGGAAUUACUGGGCGUAAAGGGCGCGUAGGCGGACAGCUUAGUCAGAGGUGAAAGCCCAGGGCUCAACCUUGGAAUUGCCUUUGAUACUGGCUGUCUUGAGUUUGGGAGAGGUGAGUGGAACUCCGAGUGUAGAGGUGAAAUUCGUAGAUAUUCGGAAGAACACCAGUGGCGAAGGCGACUCACUGGUCCAAUACUGACGCUGAGGCGCGAAAGCGUGGGGAGCAAACAGGAUUAGAAACCCCUGUAGUCC
rnacentral:rRNA from 1 species